rnacentral:rRNA from 1 species
AAUAGAUACCCAGGUAGUCCACGCCGUAAACGAUGAGUGCUAAGUGUUAGGGGGGUUCCACCCCUUAGUGCUGCAGCUAACGCAUUAAGCACUCCGCCUGGGGAGUACGGUCGCAAGACUGAAACUCAAAGGAAUUGACGGGGGCCCGCACAAGCGGUGGAGCAUGUGGUUUAAUUCGAAGCAACGCGAAGAACCUUACCAGGUCUUGACAUCCCGCUGACCGCCAUGGAGACAUGGCCUUCCCUUCGGGGACAGCGGUGACAGGUGGUGCAUGGUUGUCGUCAGCUCGUGUCGUGAGAUGUUGGGUUAAGUCCCGCAACGAGCGCAACCCUUGUCCUUAGUUGCCAUCAUUCAGUUGGGCACUCUAAGGAGACUGCCGUACAAAUACGGAGGAAGGUGGGGAUGACGUCAAAUCAUCAUGCCCCUUAUGACCUGGGCUACACACGUGCUACAAUGGGUGGUACAAAGGGCGGCGAACCCGCGAGGGGGAGCGAAUCCCAAAAAGCCACUCUCAGUUCGGAUUGCAGG